CGAAAGUUAGAGGUUCGAAGGCGAUCAGAUACCGCCCUAGUUCUAACCAUAAACGAUGCCAACCAGCGAUCCGCCUGAGUUCCUCAAAUGACUCGGCGGGCAGCUUCCGGGAAACCAAAGUGUUUGGGUUCCGGGGGAAGUAUGGUUGCAAAGCUGAAACUUAAAGGAAUUGACGGAAGGGCACCACCAGGAGUGGAGCAUGCGGCUCAAUUUGACUCAACACGGGAAAACUUACCCGGCCCGGACACUGGAAGGAUUGACAGAUUAAGAGCUCUUUCUUGAUUCAGUGGGUGGUGGUGCAUGGCCGUUCUUAGUUGGUGGAGCGAUUUGUCUGGUUAAUUCCGAUAACGAACGAGACUCUAGCCUACUAAAUAGGCGUUCCGAUCCUUUAUGUCGGACGUUCUUCUUAGAGGGACAAGCGGCUUUUAGCCGCACGAGACAGAGCAAUAACAGGUCUGUGAUGCCCUUAGAUGUCCGGGGCCGCACGCGCGCUACACUGAAGGAAUCAGCGUGUGCUUUCCCUGUCUGGUAGGACUGGGUAACCCGUUAAACCUCCUUCGUGAUAGGGAUAGGGGCUUGUAAUUGUUCCCCUUGAACGAGGAAUUCCCAGUAAGCACGAGUCAUAAGCUCGUGUUGAUUACGUCCCUGCCCUUUGUACACACCGCCCGUCGCUACUACCGAUUGAAUGAUUUAGUGAGGUCUUCGGACUGGCGCUCGUAGCGACCUUUUGGCCGCGCCGACGUGCCGGAAAGAUGACCAAACUUGAUCAUUUAGAGGAAGUAAAAGU
rnacentral:rRNA from 1 species